UUGUUUGGAGAGUUUGAUCCUGGCUCAGGACGAACGCUGGCGGCGUGCUUAACACAUGCAAGUCGAGCGGAAAGGCCCUUCGGGGUACUCGAGCGGCGAACGGGUGAGUAACA
rnacentral:rRNA from 1 species